GCGCACUUAGCUCAGUUGGUAAGAGCUUCAAUCUUGAAAGUUAAGAUCCCAGGUUUGACUCCUGGAGUGCACA
rnacentral:tRNA from 1 species